rnacentral:tRNA from 1 species
AGGGGUGUAGCUCAAUUGGCAGAGCAACGGUCUCCAAAACCGUAGGUUAGGAGUUCGAGUCUCCUCACCCCUGCCA